rnacentral:rRNA from 1 species
AUGUAUUUAUCCACAAUUAUGAUAUCACAUCAUAACUACUACCCUCCUACUACUACUUCAUCUAAAGGAGCACAAACACAUAAUAAAAGCAAGAUCAGCUACUCCAACAAGGCUCAUACCACUGAAAUUAUCAUCUAUUCUAUUGAAUCCAAAUCAUUCUCCCAUGAUGAUUUUGUACUCGUAACAUUCUUGGGGAGGGCUGGCAAAAUCAUCAAAGUCUACCAACUACAAUCCGUUUGUAUGAUCUCCAUACUCAUAUCCAUAUGGCGUGCAUACAAGCUAUUAAGUUUAGGUCAAAAUAUCACAAAUCCAGGUGUUCAUGUUAUCUCCAACCUAGAAUCCGAUUGGUAA